GGGUGGUAAUGCCGGAUGCUCCAUCACACCGCAUGGUGUGUUGGGAAAGCCUUUGCGGCAUGGGAUGGGGUCGCGUCCUAUCAGCUUGAUGGCGGGGUAACGGCCCACCAUGGCUUCGACGGGUAGCCGGCCUGAGAGGGCGACCGGCCACAUUGGGACUGAGAUACGGCCCAGACUCCUACGGGAGGCAGCAGUGGGGAAUAUUGCACAAUGGGCGCAAGCCUGAUGCAGCGACGCCGCGUGAGGGAUGGAGGCCUUCGGGUUGUAAACCUCUUUUGUUAGGGAGCAAGGCACUUUGUGUUGAGUGUACCUUUCGAAUAAGCACCGGCUAACUACGUGCCAGCAGCCGCGGUAAUACGUAGGGUGCAAGCGUUAUCCGGAAUUAUUGGGCGUAAAGGGCUCGUAGGCGGUUCGUCGCGUCCGGUGUGAAAGUCCAUCGCUUAACGGUGGAUCCGCGCCGGGUACGGGCGGGCUUGAGUGCGGUAGGGGAGACUGGAAUUCCCGGUGUAACGGUGGAAUGUGUAGAUAUCGGGAAAGAACACCA
rnacentral:rRNA from 1 species